UAUUCAGUAACUUUAAAACAAUAAUUCUUCUAUUUUUAUCAUUAUAUUAUAAAUUUUUAUAUUAAUAUAUAAAAAAUUAAAAGAAUUAAAUUAUACAUUUUAAAAAUAAUUAAUUUUAUACAAGUCCCUGCAAACAUAGUAAAUUACAAAUACACCCCUACAAAGUUUAACUUUCAUAUAUUGUCUCCGCAAAAGUCUUAAUAUUUUCAAAUAUAUCCCUCUAGUUUGUUACCGUUAAAGUACCGUUUAUUUUAUAAGUAAAAUAAUCUUUUGUCAUCACAAAUAUGUUCCCAAUUGUUAAUUAAAAAGAUCAAUUCAUUUUAUUGACUAAUUAGAGUUAAAUAUUUAAACUAUGGUUAACUAAAUUUUUCUAACUGAUUCUAACGAUAGGAACAUAUUUGAAAUUAUCAUAACUUUUACAGAAAUAAUAUAUGAAAGUUGAACUUUUUAUAUAUAUAUAUAUAUAUAUAUAUAUAUA
rnacentral:lncRNA from 1 species